rnacentral:rRNA from 1 species
UACGUAGGGGGCUAGCGUUGUCCGGAAUCAUUGGGCGUAAAGCGCGCGUAGGCGGCCCGGUAAGUCCGCUGUGAAAGUCAAAGGCUCAACCUUUGAAUGUCAGCGGAUACUGCCGGGCUAGAGUCCGGAAGAGGCGAGUGGAAUUCCUGGUGUAGCGGUGGAAUGCGCAGAUAUCAGGAGGAACACCAACGGCGAAGGCAGCUCGCUGGGACGGUACUGACGCUGAGGCGCGAAAGCGUGGAGAGCGAACAGG